GGGAUGAAAAUGAUCAAGAAAGGAAAUCUCUCACCAUGCCCCUUCCUCCUGGCCACACCCUGCCCUUCUCCUUACCCUCCUGAUCUCUAGACACAAUCUCUCCCACCAGAAGGAUGAGCAAUUUCCUCUGUACUUCAGAUCCUGGGCAACCAUAGCCUGUCAUUCCCAACCCAAGUGUUUGAAACUGGACUACUUUUUAGGCAUGACUCAGCACCUUUGUUCCAUGUGACACAAUGGCCAAAAUGACCAACUCCAGAGGAAGACUUCAGAGUGGCUUAUCUUCUCUGCGUACUGAGCUCAUCAGGUCAGCCAGCACUCUCUACAUGAAACGUCUGUUUGUGAACUAUUGAUAUCCCAAUGCUCACUAUUUAAAUGCUUUCUUUCUUCUUUUCCGUUUCUUUUUUUUUUUUUUUCUUUUUGAGACAGAAUCUUGCUCUGUCACCCAGGCUGGAAUGCGGUGGCAUGAUCUUGGGUCACUGCAACCUCCCAGGUUCAACCAAUUCUCCUGCCUCAACUUUCUGAGUAGCUGGGAUUACAGGCAUGUGCCACCACGCCUGGCUAAUUUUUGUAUUUUUAGUAGAGAUGGGGUUUCACCAUGUUGGCCAGGCUGGUCUCGAACUCCUGACCUCAAGUGAUCUGCCCACCUCUGCUUCCAAAAAUGCAGGGAUUAUAGGCGUGAACUACCACUUAUGGCUCUACUGAAAUGCUUUCUGAAAGUAGAUGCAAAUAAAAUUUCCAAACCCACAGGGACAAAGCAGGAAGAAUAACUCAGCUAUGACAAUUUCUUCUGUCCAUUCACCUUCCGUAGUAGCACCCCUUGGGGAAGGAUGAGUGUGUGUCAGGCCAGAUGAGAGGAACACCCGCCCUGCGUUAACUUCCCACAAUUGCACUCCCAUGUAAGAGACAGGUCUGUCCUCUUCUUCCACACGUGUUCUCUGUGGCAUACUAACUAUCAACUAUACUCUUUACCCAUUAAUUUUCCAAAUGUAAUACUUUGGAAAAAAUAUCCAAGUUUUAUAACACAAAGAAGCCUACAAGAAUCCAGACAAAUAUCAUUUUUAUUUUUUUCCUGUGUGUAGACCAGAAUAUUCUGUAAUACAGUCCACUGUAAUUUACAGUGCUAUCUAGAGCUGGCAUAAACUUAAAGGAAAAGAGCCCCAGAUAUUAAAAAUGCAAUGGAGAAAAUCCCAUCUUAAGAUAUUACUGACUUGCUCCUAAUUAAGAAAGGAAAUUCCCUACUGUUGAUGGUUAAUACUGAGUGUCAACUUGAUUGAAUGAAGGAUGCAAAGUACUGAUCCUGGGUGUUUCUGUGAGGGUGUUGACUGAAUUGAAGGAUGCAAAGUACUGAUCCUGGGUGUUUCUGUGAGGGUGCUGACUGAAUUGAAGGAUGUGAAGUACUGAUCCUGGGUGUUUCCGUGAGGGUGCUGACUGAAUUGAAGGAUGUGAAGUACUGAUCCUAGGUGUUUCCGUGAGGGUGCUGACUGAAUUGAAGGAUGUGAAGUACUGAUCGUGGGUGUUUCCGUGAGGGUGCUGACUGAAUUGAAGGAUGCAAAGUACUGAUCCUGGGUGUUUCUGUGAGGGUGUUGACUGAAUUGAAGGAUGUGAAGUACUGAUCCUGGGUGUUUCUGUGAGGGUGCUGACUGAAUUGAAGGAUGUGAAGUACUGAUCCUGGGUGUUUCUGUUGUCAAAGGAGACUGACAUUUGAGUCCCUGGGCUGGGAAAGGCAGACCCACCCUUAAUCUGUGUGUGCACCAUCUAAUCAGCUGCCAGCGCGGCCAGGAUGUAAAGCAGGCAGAAAAAUGUGAAAAGAGAGACUGGCCUAGCCUCCCAGCCUACAUAUUUCUCAUGCUGGAUGCUUCCUGCCCUCAAACAUCAGACUCCCAGUUCUUCAGUUUUGGGACUCAGACUGGCUCUUCUUGUUCCUCAGCCUGCAGACGACCUACUGUGGAACCUUGCAGUCACGGGACAACAAUAACAGAACUACCUACAAGGCUCACUUCCUAGAACACGACAGAAACUCUGCACAAGAAAACAGGAAAUCCACAAAGCCUGCAGAAUGGUAACAACCACCAUACAUAUGUACACAUAUAUAUGUAUGCACACCGUUUUAGAACGUAAAAACUCUUGAAUAAAAAUAAUCAAACUGGAACCUCAAGAUCCAACUGUGAGUAAGAAAGAAGAAGGAAUGGGCUGAAGGAGGGCAGUACCCGAGCGAAGGCACACAGCUGGUGAGCCGGGGGCAGAGACCAAGCUCAAGGUCUCAGAAGUCACCUCUUGAGCUGUUUCCACAACACCACAUGCUACUCACAUUUAUUUAUUUGGAGACAUCUCUCACUCCAUCGCCCAGGCUACAGUGCAGUGGCGUGAUCUUGGCUCACUGCAACCUCCACCUCCCAGGCUCAAGCUAUCCUCCCACCUCAAUUUUCCAAGUAGCUAGGACUGCAGGUGCAUGCCACUGCACCUAACUUUUUGUAUUUUUAGUAAAGACAGGAUUUCACCAUUUUGCCCAGGCAAGUGUUGAACUCCUGGGCUCAAGUGAUCUGCCUGCCUCGGCCUCCCAUAGUGCUCGGACUACGGGCAUGAGCCAUCAUGCCUAGCCUACUCAUAAUCAUUUAUUUGUAGGUACAAUCACCAAAAUCAUCUCUGUUUUGUGAUAUUUCUAAU